UACGUAGGGUGCAAGCGUUAAUCGGAAUUACUGGGCGUAAAGCGCGUGUAGGCGGGUCUUUAAGUCAGGGGUGAAAUGCCAAGGCUCAACCUUGGAACUGCCUUUGAUACUGGAGACCUUGAGUCCGGGAGAGGUGAGUGGAAUUGCGAGUGUAGAGGUGAAAUUCGUAGAUAUUCGCAAGAACACCAGUGGCGAAGGCGGCUCACUGGCCCGGAACUGACGCUGAGAUGCGAAAGCGUGGGGAGCAAACAGG
rnacentral:rRNA from 1 species